UACGUAGGGUGCGAGCGUUAAUCGGAAUACUGGGGCGUAAAGCGUGCGCAGGCGGCGCGUUAAGACAGGUGUGAAAGCCCCGAGCUUAACUUGGGAAUUGACGCUUGUGACUGGCGUGCUGGAGUGUGGCGAGAGGGAGGUGGAAAUUCCACGUGUAGCAGUGAAAUGCGUAGAGGAUGAUGGAGGAACACCGAUGGCGAAGGCAGCCUCCGUGGGCCAGCACAUGACGCUCGAGUGC
rnacentral:rRNA from 1 species